rnacentral:rRNA from 1 species
AGAGUUUGAUCCUGGCUCAGGACGAACGCUGGCGGCGUGCCUAAUACAUGCAAGUCGAGCGCAGGAAGCCGUCUGAACCCUUCGGGGGGACGACGGUGGAAUGAGCGGCGGACGGGUGAGUAACACGUAAAGAACCUGCCCAUAGGUCUGGGAUAACCACGAGAAAUCGGGGCUAAUACCGGAUGUGUCAUCGGACCGCAUGGUCCGCUGAUGAAAGGCGCUCCGGCGUCGCCCAUGGAUGGCUUUGCGGUGCAUUAGCUAGUUGGUGGGGUAACGGCCCACCAAGGCGACGAUGCAUAGCCGACCUGAGAGGGUGAUCGGCCACACUGGGACUGAGACACGGCCCAGACUCCUACGGGAGGCAGCAGUAGGGAAUCUUCCACAAUGGACGAAAGUCUGAUGGAGCAACGCCGCGUGAACGAUGAAGGCUUUCGGGUCGUAAAGUUCUGUUGUAAGGGAAGAACAAGUGCCGCAGGCAAUGGCGGCACCUUGACGGUACCUUGCGAGAAAGCCA